rnacentral:lncRNA from 1 species
AUUACAGACCCAUUUGUUCUUAGGCUAAGCAAUUUCUUGGUAACUCACAUUUAUUUCUGGUUUAAGCCCAUUGUGAUCAUAGCAGCAGCUUGUUCCUGACCGGAGACCAAAUGGCCAUGCGGUUGCUAACAGUGUUACCAUCAAAAUUGUCUAAGGAUCACUAGUCUGGGUGGCAAUUCCAAGCCAAAAGCACAUAUAAGUUUAGAAAGGCUGAAUCUUGUAUCCUUACUUGGAGAGGCAAAAUGCACUGAGCAUAAUGAAGACUCCAAGUGGUUGAGGCAAGUGUUUAUAUUGUUUAACCCUUUCCCCCAAUUACUUUGAAUCAAAGCCACUUUUGUUUCUGCUCAUGAAAUAUAUAAUAAUAACUUGGAGAUUAUCAGAAUUCCAAAGAAAACAUUUUGAAAACUGAUGGCUUUGGGGCAAUGAAGAAAACACCAUCUAUAUCUCUGUAU